UGGGGAAUAUUGCACAAUGGGCGCAAGCCUGAUGCAGCCAUGCCGCGUGUAUGAAGAAGGCCUCCGGGUUGUAAAGUACUUUCAGUCGGGAGGAAGGUGUCAAGGUUAAUAACCUUGGCAAUUGACGUUACCGACAGAAGAAGCACCGGCUAACUCCGUGCCAGCAGCCGCGGUAAUACGGAGGGUGCAAGCGUUAAUCGGAAUUACUGGGCGUAAAGCGCACGCAGGCGGUUGAUUGAGUCAGAUGUGAAAUCCCCGGGCUUAACCCGGGAAUUGCAUCUGAUACUGGUCAGCUAGAGUCUUGUAGAGGGGGGUAGAAUUCCAUGUGUAGCGGUGAAAUGCGUAGAGAUGUGGAGGAAUACCGGUGGCGAAGGCGGCCCCCUGGACAAAGACUGACGCUCAGGUGCGAAAGCGUGGGGAGCAAACAGG
rnacentral:rRNA from 1 species